AUGGCGAGACUAGCAUGGGUGCUGUGCCUCCUGCUCGCCGUUGCCGCGGCGGUGGCGGUGGCGCUCCCGGAGCCUGAAGCGGAGGCCGUGUCCACCUACAUUGUGCACGUGGCGCCGGCGCACGCGCCACGGUCGUCACGGCCCCGCGCGCUUUCCAGCGCGUACGGCUCCUUCCUGCGCGACCACCUCCCCGCGCGCGUCGCGCGCCCGGCGCCGAGGGUGCUCUACUCGUACGCGCACGCCGCCACGGGCUUCGCGGCGCGGCUGACGGGGGCCCAGGCCGCGCACCUCGCCUCCCAGGACUCCGUGCUCGCGGUCGUGCCCGACGCUACCCACCAGCUGCACACCACGCAGACGCCGUCGUUCCUCGGCCUCUCGGAGUCGUCCGGGCUGCUCGCGGCGUCCGGCGGCGCCAGGGACGUCGUGAUAGGCGUCAUCGACACCGGCGUGUACCCGAAGGACCGCGCGUCGUUCGCCGGGGACCCGUCGCUGCCGCCGCCGCCCAGCACGUUCCGCGGCCGCUGCGUCUCGACGCCGGCGUUCAACGCCUCCGCGUACUGCAACAACAAGCUCGUCGGCGCCAAGUUCUUCAACCUGGGGUACCAGGCUUCGCACGGAGGGGCGAUUGAGGAGACGGAGUCCAGGUCACCGCUCGACACCAACGGCCAUGGUACGCACACCUCGUCCACGGCCGCGGGCUCUGCCGUGGCGGACGCCGCCUUCUUCGACUACGCCAAAGGCAAAGCCGUCGGCAUGGCUCCGGGCGCGCGCAUUGCCGCCUACAAGUCGUGCUGGACAAUGGGAUGCACGUACUCUGACAUUCUCAUGGCAUUUGACGAGGCCAUCAAGGAUGGGGUCAACGUCAUCUCCGUCUCGCUUGGCGCUGUUGGCAGGGCGCCACAGUUUUAUAGCGACACCACGGCCGUGGGAGCGUUCAGCGCCGUCCGCAAGGGCAUCGUCGUGUCCGCCUCUGCAGGCAAUGCCGGCCCCGGCGAGUUCACCGCCGUCAACGUCGCGCCGUGGAUCCUGACGGUCGGUGCGUCAACCAUCAACCGCCAGUUCCCAGCGAACGUUGUCCUCGGCGACGGCGAGACCUUCAACGGCACCUCCCUCUAUGCCGGCACGCCGCUCGGUGCAAGCAAGAUACCGUUAGUCUAUGGAGGCGACGUGGGCUCAAGCGUCUGUGAAGCUGGCAAGCUGAACGCCAGCAAGGUCGCCGGAAAGAUUGUGGUGUGCGACCCAGGCGUGAACGGUCGAGCAGCUAAAGGAGAAGCCGUGAAACUUGCCGGAGGAGCCGGAGCAAUCCUAGUUGGCAGCAAAGCGUUCGGCGAGCAGGCCUUGGCUACCGCUCACAUCCUUCCGGCGACGGCCGUCACGUUCACCGCUGCCGAGAAGAUCAAGAAGUACAUAAGAACGAACGCGUCCCCCGUCGCGACGGUCGUGUUCCUCGGCACUGCCAUCGGCCGGACGCUGUCUUCCCCAAGAAUGGCUUCCUUUUCCAGCCGCGGCCCAAAUUUCAUCGCGCCGGAGAUCUUCAAGCCGGAUGUCACCGCCCCUGGAGUGGACAUUCUGGCUGCUUGGACCGGCGAGAACUCACCCUCGGAGCUCGACAGCGACACGAGGCGAGUGAAGUUCAACAUCAUCUCCGGGACCUCCAUGUCAUGCCCGCACGUCAGCGGCAUCGCCGCGCUGCUCCGGCAGGCACACCCGGACUGGAGCCCCGCCGCGAUCAAGUCCGCGCUGAUGACCACCGCGUACAACGUGGACAACGCCGGCGACAUCAUCAAGGACAUGUCGACCGGCGAGGCAUCCACGCCGUUCGUGCGCGGGGCCGGCCACGUGGACCCCAACUGCGCCCUGGACCCGGGCCUGGUCUACGACGCCGGCACCGACGACUACAUCGCCUUCCUGUGCGCGAUCGGAUACACCGCGAAGCAGAUCGCCGUCCUGACGAGGGACGGCUCGGUGACCGACUGCUCGACGCGCUCGGGCUCUGUGGGCGACCUCAACUACCCGGCGUUCUCGGUGGUGUUCAGCUCCGGGGAUGACAAGGUUACGCAGCGCCGCGUCGUGCGCAACGUCGGGAGCAACGCCAGGGCCACGUACACGGCCAGCGUCACCAGCCCCGCCGGCGUGCGCGUCGCGGUGGAGCCUCCGACGCUGCAGUUCAGCGCGAUGCAACAGGCACAGGAGUACGCGAUCACCUUCGCGCCGCAGCAGGGAGGCGUGACCGAGAAGUACACGUUCGGGUCCAUAGUGUGGAGUGACGGGAAGCACAAGGUGACGAGCCCCAUUGCCAUCACCUGGCGGGCGAGCCAAGUGGCGGCGAUGUGAUUCGACAGUUCUACGAAAUUUUAACUUGUGUGCUCUUACGUUCGUUGUUUGUUGUAGGUUGCAAGUUGCAUUUAAAAAAAAUUGCACGUUUCAGCUGGGACUGGGACGGGCUGCAUCACUGAUCUCAACCUGCAGUAGGUAAUGACUCCUUCGCUACAUAUUUGAGUCAGAGCUGAGCCAUUUCAAUCUCGGUUGCCACUAAUCUAAUAACAUGUGGGCCUGAAUAUAUAGAUCAGCCCGGUAAGGUGAGCUAUUUAGGGCCUUGUUGGAAAUUUGAUACAUGACAGUCCAUUCGAAUAAGAAGGAACUUCCAUUCUGUUUUGAGCUUUACUAAGAUGGGCUUUCUUGGUUCUCCAAGCACACUGGUCAACAAAUAAAUCACGGAUUA